rnacentral:lncRNA from 1 species
CUGAAUUGUUCACUGGAAGUUCUAUUUAUAAGUACAGAGGAGCGCACUAUUUAGGAAAAUUGCUGGCCUGGGAGUGGAUUGAGUGUGCGAAUGUCCACGCGAAGCUGGAGUGAGGGCGCGUGAAUGUGCUGUGCAUGUUGAAGUGGCGGGGCUUGUUCCGCGUGAAGGGAAGCGGGCCAUGGGCAAGAGAUGAAGUGCGGUCCACGUGAGAGCAUUGCAUUGGCGGGUCUACUGUGAAUGCUUUGGUCCAUGGUCCAUGCGCUGGGGAAGAGUUGCUGUGGCGGGGCCCACGUGCUUGAAUGCUUUGGUCCAUGCGCUGGGGUUCACGUCCAUGUGAGGAAUUGAUGAAGCUUGGUGAAGCGACCCACGUGAAGAGAAUGGAUGGAGCGCGGGUAUGGGCUGUGUGCGUGGGCGUGCGGAGCGCGGGCCUGUGCGUUGGUGGGCUAUCCAAGCUUGAAUAUUUAAGCUUCAAAAUCCUUUCCUCAUUCUUUGCUCCAAUAAGGCAGUUUUAGGGGGAUUUUCUCCAAAUUGUCAUUUUAUAUUAUUUUUUAUAAAAUAAUAUUAAAAACACUAAAUUAGGCAGAAAUCAUGUAAAUAUUUAUUAAUAAUAUUAAUAUAAAAUGGACUAAAUUAUGCU